rnacentral:lncRNA from 1 species
GAUCAUUGUCUUUCCAUGAGAAGACAUGUUGUUGAAGCUACUAAAUCAUUUUCAAAGGAAUCUGUGAUUGAGGUGGAUCCAGUUUUCUAGAGAGAAUGAGGAAAUGUCUUUUGAAGCCAUGCCUGGGAAGUACAAUCAGCGGAUGUUACUGCACAGAUUUUUUCCAUCACAGCUUCCUCCCAUCUCAAUAAUUAUGAUUUCUUCCCUUAUGCCACUUGUUCUUCCAUGCUUUUUAUUCAUUGUCUGUGAUUAAAGCCUCUUUAAUUAGGAGCUAGAGAAUUCACUCUCUAAUUGAGGACUCAUUUAAAAAUCAUGGACCUGGACUUACAAUUCUGGUCUUUCACUGCUUGGGUCCAUGCACUAGGACGCCUAUAGCAAUACAUGGCUUCUUAUUUCGAAGGUUCUUUAAAUUCUGUUUAAAAAGACCUUAAAGAGUGCAUAGACAUCAAGUAGCACUCUAGUAUUGGGAAGAUUUUAGUUUAAAUGAGAUAGAACCAUGCGAACUAAAUUUUUGUUAAUAAAAACAUAAGCUUGCAAAUUAUAUACUCUAACAUUUCCAUGGGCUAUAUAACCUCAGGAAGGGCAAACUAUGUCUUUAUAGAAUAAACUAUAGGCUGGAAGUGUAAUGGAAAGGACUCAGAGGAGUGUAACAAAAUAAUUAAAGGCUUAGAAAAUAAUAUCCAUGGAGCAAUUAACAGGAUUGUAUUCAUGACCUUUGGUAAAAUGGCUGUUAGUGAUGACACAUGGUGAUUACAAUGGAAGACAUGUUCUGUGUUGGAGAGUGACAAGCUGUUAACCAAUGCAGACAAAUCACAAAACAAGACCUGAAAGCCUUAAAAGAAAUACUUAUCGAAUAUCCCUAAAUGGGGACUUUCAAAAAGCCAAAGUCAUUUAUGAGAAAGGCAGUGAAUUUGAAUGAAAAAUACAUUGAACCAGUUGGAAGUCAGAAGGUCUGAGUUCUCCGUGGGCACUGCCACUGCCUCACUCAUGGUCCUUCGUCAUCCCAUUCCCUCCGCGGAUGGGCAUCUACUCAGCUUUAUAAUGAAAUGGCGGAUGAAGAGAUCACCCUACUCCAUCAGCAGGACGUGCAUCGUCAUGUUUGUCGUGAGCUUUGUCUCACAUCAUUGUAUGAUGUGCUGCUGCUGCUGUAAUGAGAAUACCUGGACUAUUUAA